rnacentral:rRNA from 1 species
GACAGAGGUUGCAAACGUUUGUUCGGAAUUACUGGGCAUAAAGCGCACGUAGGCGGUCCGUUAAGUCAUGUGUGAAAUCCCCGGGCUCAACCUGGGAAUGGCAGUGGAUACUGGGAAGCUAGAGUGUGAUAGAGGAUGGUGGAAUUCCCGGUGUAGCGGUGAAAUGCGUAGAGAUCGGGAGGAACAUCAGUGGCGAAGGCGGCCAUCUGGAUCAACACUGACGCUGAGACACGAAAGCGUGGGGAGCAAACAGG